AUGAAUUUUCUCGCGCUGAUUCUGAAUAUUAAGAACCAAAAUGAAAAUAUCUGUACAUGAAAAAAGUAGACAUUUCGAUGCAAACCGUUAGCACGCCGAUGGUUAGCAUCAGGCUAAAGAACUGAUUCUUGUGACGCAGUUAGGUCAUUGUUUGAAAUUUCUUUGUGAGGGUAAACUUCAGUCAGGAAUGGCAAUAAAAUGUUUGAAGCCUCACGAAGAUGCGGCGACCCGCUUAAAGGAUACAUGACGUCGUGAGUCAAAACAGUCGCUUGUAAUCUUUUAUUAAAGCAAAACGUCUGGUACACGUUCAGUCUCGACAGGAAAUGACAGUGACACAGACAACACGAAACUUGCCCACUCUUCCUUCCUUCUUUCUCAUCAUCUUGACACAAAAAGACCCCCAUCCCAAUACAAAAAGAACUUGGGUUUUCUCAAGCCGGUUCGGUGUCAGUGUGCGUGCAUGCUGAUUGGCCUCUUAGCCGGUCUUAGCCACGCCCACAAGGACGCCUUUAAAUCAGACUCGUAAACUCCCAUCAACGUGAGGAAACUUACCCAAAGUCUUUAAAAGCUCGUUUGUCUCACAUUAACGUUUACAGCAGUUUCUCUAUACGUCGUUUUUCUUGCUUUCUUUUUUUUUUUACAGUCUGUACACGCUUAAUGUACAUCACCAACAACCAAUCUCUCUCUCUCACACACACACACGUACUCGCCUUGAACACGCGUACAACACGUCAAGAAGGCAUCAAAUAAAUAAGAAAUAAAUUACAGGUUAAAAAAAGAGCAGUUAAAAAAACAUGUUGAGUCAGUUGGCAUCUCAAACCAUUCAAUCCUCAUGAAGGUAUUUUAAGAGGAUUUUAAAGUGUUUGAAUACAGUGACACCUUGAGAUGUCCAUCAUAUUGUAUUUUAUGAAAACCAAGUGUGAUAGCAAAAUAAAUUAGGUGUUUGAUGAGUUCUUUCUCGUGUGCAAAUUGGCCACUGGGUGGGGUGGGGUGGGGGUAGUAUAACACUGUCAUCCAGACACAAAGAAGACUUUUACUAUGACCAGAAAUGACUCGGUAAGCUGUAGCAAUAAUUUGUUGCAGAGGAUAAAGAAUUUAUACCUUUAUGUAUUAUAGUUUUGGUAGUCCGUCUCUCAUGGUGGUUGAUUUAAAUACAUGAUGUGUAAUUCUGUCAUUCUUGUUCGCUUUUUAUGAAACGUGUUGAUGCCGAUACAGCGGCCAAGAUGUCGACUUUCUGCUUGGAAAAAGAAUGUCUACAUGACAGAUCGUGUCUGUAAAAAGUUGGCUCACUUGUAUCUCAAGGUGCCAGUGUACCUUCAAACUGGAAUUGAUCCCACCGUGAAUGAUUCCGCGGUCGUCAGGUGCUGAAAGUCGCUUCCAGCACGAAGAGGCCAGAAGAAGUGAGUGUCGGGUGUGAACCUACACUACCCUUUCCCACAGACGGCAUCCCACCUCCAAAGCUGGAAACGUUCCAUCUCAAACCCGUGAAAGUGUCGGCACUUGCGGCGCUGCGUGAAAGGGGCUUGGACGUUGCAGUGUUGCCUUUUUUUUUUUUUUUUGAGAAGCACAUUUGUGUUAAAUGGUGUGAAACGAGUAAACCAAAAGACACAUUCACAAAUCAGUGGCGAGUCGCGGUGGUGACAGGAAGUCACAUGACCCGACGGCAUCAAAGGGGGGCGUCCUGGUCCUGCUCUGUGAAGGCAUACGGAAAGACCUUUCAAGCAUUUGCUCCAUAGCCUUCAUACCCAGCUCCAACACGAUUCACUUCAUGUGUUACUUCUACGAGUGCACCCUAGUUGGUCUAACUCGUGUGCCAAAAUUUUCAUACAGUAGCUAGCGGAAGGCAGUUGUAAAAAUGUCACUACACUGUAAAAAAAAAAUAAAAAAU